AGCAGCCGCGGUAAUUCCAGCUCCAAUAGCGUAUACUAAAGUUGUUGCAGUUAAAAAGCUCGUAGUUGAAUUUCGGGGUCAGUAGGUUGGUCAUGCCUCCGGUAUGUACUGGUCUCACUGAUUCCUCCUUCCUGAUGAGCCGUAAUGCCAUUAAUUUGGUGUUGCGGGGAAUCUGGACUGUUACUUUGAAAAAAUUAGAGUGUUUAAAGCAAGCUAACGCUUGAAUACAUUAGCAUGGAAUAAUGGAAUAGGACGUUCGAUCCUAUUUGUUGGUUUCUAGGAUUGACGUAAUGAUUAAUAGGGACAGUUGGGGGCAUUAGUAUUCAAUUGUCAGAGGUGAAAUUCUUGGAUUUAUUGAAGACUAACUACUGCGAAAGCAUUUGCCUAAGGAUGUUUUCAUUAAUCAAGAACGAAAGUUAGGGGAUCGAAGACGAUCAGAUACCGUCGUAGUCUUAACCAUAAACUAUGCCGACUAGGGAUCGGAUGAUGUAAUUUUUAAUGACUCAUUCGGACG
rnacentral:rRNA from 1 species